UAGCCUAGUGGUUAAGGCUAUGGAUCGACAAUCUGGAGAAGGCGGGUUCGAUUCCCGU
rfam:Aedes albopictus isolate Foshan contig63751, whole genome shotgun sequence.